UCCAGACUCCUACGGGAGGCAGCAGUGGGGGAUAUUGCACAAUGGGGGAAACCCUGAUGCAGCGACGCCACGUGAGUGAAGAAGUAUUUCGGUAUGUAAAGCUCUAUCAGCAGGGAAGAAAAAAGACGGUACCUGACUAAGAAGCCCCGGCUAACUACGUGCCAGCAGCCGCGGUAAUACGUAGGGGGCAAGCGUUAUCCGGAUUUACUGGGUGUAAAGGGAGCGUAGACGGCAAUACAAGUCGGAAGUGAAAUACCCGGGCUCAACCUGGGAACUGCUUUGGAAACUGUAUGGCUGGAGUGCUGGAGAGGUAAGCGGAAUUCCUAGUGUAGCGGUGAAAUGCGUAGAUAUUAGGAGGAACACCAGUGGCGAAGGCGGCUUACUGGACAGUAACUGACGUUGAGGCUCGAAAGCGUGGGGAGCAAACAGGAUUAGAUACCCUCGUAU
rnacentral:rRNA from 1 species